AUGGAAGGAGAGGCGGAGGUGGAAGCGGAGGCGAGGGGAAAGAGUGUCGGAGAGGGCAUCAAGCAUGCCACGGGAACCCAGGGAGAUCGGGUUCCUGAGAUGGAAGGGAAGGUGAAGCGGAAGAGCGUCGAAUCCAGGAAGGGCAUCGAACAUGCUGCGAGGAGGAAGCACGUGAAGUCGUUAUCGGAGAUCAAGUCAGCGAUGAAGAAGGUUGCGUCGCGGGAAAACCUCACAAGAAUAAAGCUGGAGACCAAAAACAAAUUGGAUGAAAUAGAGGAGGCCAGAGAGACGGACGAGGCACCACCGAGAAUCUCCAUGGAGGCUGUGAAGGGAACCAUGGAGAGCGACGAGUUGCCAGAGAGGAUUUCCACUUCAGAAGAUACAAAAUUAGAGAUUGACGAAGCCAAGGAGAUGGGAGAGGAAGGCGCGGUGAGGGAUGAGGUGACAAAGUUGGAUAUUGAGGAAUCUGAGGGGAUGGAGGAGAAGAUGCAGACUGGGCCGUUCUUUGAUAUGUACUAUGGCGGCUUGAAAGCGUGUAGGUCCUGGUUCUUCAGCAGUCCCUGCAAAGAUACUAGUGAGUAA
rnacentral:rRNA from 1 species